AUUGAACGCUGGCGGCAGGCCUAACACAUGCAAGUCGAGCGAGCGGCGGACGGGUGAGUAAUGUAUGGGGACUGCCUGAUAGAGGGGGAGAACUACUGGAAACGGUGGCUAAUACCGCAUACUAUCGGAUAACCCAUAUGGGAUUAGCUAGUAGGUGGGGUAAAGGCUCACCUAGGCGACGAUCCCUAGCUGGUCUGCGAGGAUGAUCGGCCACACUGGGACUGAGACACGGCCCAUACUCCUACGGAGGCAGCAGUGGGGAAUAUUGCGCAAUGGGCGCAAGCCUGAUGCAGCCAUGCCGCGUGAAUGAAGAAGGCCUUAGGGUUGUAAAGUACUUUCAGCAGGGAGGCGUUACCCGCAGAAAAAGCAACGGCUAACUACGUGCCAGCAGCCGCGGUAAUAC
rnacentral:rRNA from 1 species